rnacentral:rRNA from 1 species
AGCAGCCGCGGUAAUUCCAGCUCCAAUAGCGUAUAUUAAAGUUGUUGCAGUUAAAAAGCUCGUAGUUGAAUUUCGGGGUUAGUAGGUUGGUCAUGCCUCUGGUAUGUACUGGUCUCACUGAUUCCUCCUUCCUGAUGAUCCGUAAUGCCAUUUAUUUGGUGUUGCGGGGAAUUUGGACUGUUACUUUGAAAAAAUUAGAGUGUUUAAAGCAAGCUAACGCUUGAAUACAUUAGCAUGGAAUAAUGAAAUAGGACGUUCGAUCCUAUUUUGUUGGUUUCUAGGAUUGACGUAAUGAUUAAUAGGGAUAGUUGGGGGCAUUAGUAUUCAAUUGUCAGAGGUGAAAUUCUUGGAUUUAUUGAAGACUAACUACUGCGAAAGCAUUUGCCAAGGAUGUUUUCAUUAAUCAAGAACGAAAGUUAGGGGAUCGAAGACGAUCAGAUACCGUCGUAGUCUUAACCAUAAACUAUGCCGACUAGGGAUCGGAUGAUGUUAAUUUUUAAUGACUCAUUCGGCACUUAAC